rnacentral:tRNA from 1 species
ACUCAGCUGGCUCAGUCAGUAGAGCAUGCAACUCUUGAUCUUGAUUUGUAGGUUUGAGCCCCAUGUUGAGUA